rnacentral:rRNA from 1 species
GGGUCAGGAGGUUGGUCGUGCCACCGGUACGUACUGGUCUCACUGAUUCCUCCUUCCUGAAGAACCGUAAUGCCAUUAAUUUGGUGUUGCGGGGAAACAGGACUGUUACUUUGAAAAAAUUAGAGCGUUUAAAGCAAGCUAACGCUUGAAUACAUUAGCAUGGAAUAAUGAAAUAGGACGAUCGAUCCUAUUUUGUUGGUUUCUAGGAUUGACGUA